UACGUAGGGUGCAAGCGUUGUCCGGAUUUAUUGGGCGUAAAGAGCGUGUAGGCGGCUUUACAGGUCCGUUGUGAAAACUCGAGGCUCAACCUCGAGACGCCGGUGGAAACCGUAAGGCUAGAGUCCGGAAGAGGAGAGUGGAAUUCCUGGUGUAGCGGUGAAAUGCGCAGAUAUCAGGAAGAACACCCGUGGCGAAGGCGGCUCUCUGGGAAGGUACUGACGCUGAGACGCGAAAGCGUGGGGAGCGAACAGG
rnacentral:rRNA from 1 species